rnacentral:rRNA from 1 species
UACGAAGGGGGCUAGCGUUGCUCGGAAUCACUGGGCGUAAAGCGCACGUAGGCGGGUCUUUAAGUCAGGGGUGAAAUCCUGGAGCUCAACUCCAGAACUGCCUUUGAUACUGAAGAUCUUGAGUUCGAGAGAGGUGAGUGGAACUGCGAGUGUAGAGGUGAAAUUCGUAGAUAUUCGCAAGAACACCAGUGGCGAAGGCGGCUCACUGGCCCGAUACUGACGCUGAGGCACGAAAGCGUGGGGAGCAAACAGG